rnacentral:rRNA from 1 species
CACUCCUGCGGGAGGCAGCAGUAGGGAAUCUUCCACAAUGGGUGCAAACCUGAUGGAGCAAUGCCGCGUGAGUGAAGAAGGUCUUCGGAUCGUAAAGCUCUGUUGUUAGAGAAGAACACGUGCUAGGUAACUACUAGCGCCUUGACGGUAUCUAACCAGAAAGUCACGGCUAACUACGUGCCAGCAGCCGCGGUAAUACGUAGGUGACAAGCGUUGUCCGGAUUUAUUGGGCGUAAAGGGAGCGCAGGCGGUCUGUUUAGUCUAAUGUGAAAGCCCACGGCUUAACCGUGGAACGGCAUUGGAAACUGACAGACUUGAAUGUAGAAGAGGAAAAUGGAAUUCCAAGUGUAGCGGUGGAAUGCGUAGAUAUUUGGAGGAACACCAGUGGCGAAGGCGAUUUUCUGGUCUAACAUUGACGCUGAGGCUCGAAAGCGUGGGGAGCGAACAGGAUUAGAAACCCGAGUAGUCCCAUGA